rnacentral:lncRNA from 1 species
AUGUUUCUGAGUGUAAAAGUCAGAAAAGCUGAAGGUUUAAUUUUGGUUUUGUUUUUUUGCAUAUGUGAGAAAGCACUUCCUGCAUGUGGUGAGAGCAGUUCCAGUUCUAGAAAAGUAGCAAAUCCAGAAAGUAUUGUUUUUGGGUCAAUAUUAAGAAGAUUUCUGGAAGAAGGGAUCUUUCUAAAUACAUCUGGUUUGCCCACAGAACUGGAAUUCGGAAGGUGGACAAGCACUGCAGGGAUGGGACAUGUCACUGGUGUGAGAUUGUACAGAACACAGAGCAGCAGCUCUGUCUACUGUUUUGCAGAGUCAUCAGGCAGAGUGUCUCGGUGUGAUGGGUUUUCCUGUGCCCCACUGCCUCUCCAGCAGAAGUCCAGGCUGCAGAGGGCACACCAACCGUGUGACAUCCCAGAUCUUCUGCUCCAGUAG